ACAAGGUUUCCGUAGGUGAACCUGCGGAAGGAUCAUUAAAAAUAUCGCUCGAUUGAGAUGAUUUAAUAAUCAUCCUACCCUUUGUGAAUUUGUUGUUUGAAAUAAUUUUUUUUGAUGUGUAAAAAAAAAUUAUUUAUGGUUUGUCUAUCCCUAAAUUGGUUUGUUGUUGUAAAGACAAGUGAAUCAAUUUAGGAAUAGGCUUUCCUAAAUAGUUGAUUUUUUUUUCCAAUGUCUUAAAAGACCUUUUUUUAAAAUUAAACUUUUGUAUUCAUUUGUCUAAAAUAAUUUUAAAAUAAUUUAAAACAACUUUUGACAAUGGAUCUCUUGGUUCUCGCAACGAUGAAGAACGCAGCAAAAUGCGAUAAGUAAUGUGAAUUGCAGAAUACGUGAAUCAUCAAGUCUUCGAACGCAUAUUGCACUUUUUAGUUUACUAAAAAAGUAUGUCUGUUUGAGUAUCAGUAAAAUAUUCUCAUAAAACAUUUUUGUUUUUAUGGUUAUGAGUGUUUACAACGAUAACAAGUUGUUUCACUUUAAAUUCUUUGUUAUCAAAAAAAAUCAUUAAAAGCUAAUUUAAAGAUUUUUUAAAUUGGAUAAAAUUUUCCCGUAAAAGGAAUAACCUAAACAAUUUAAAAAAUUAAAAUUGGUUUGAUUUUUCUUGAUUUAAAAAAGGAAAAAAGUAAAAAUUAACUUGAUCUCAAAUCAGAUAAGAGUACCCGCUGAACUAAGCAUAUCAAUAAGCGGAGGAAAAGAAACUAACUAGGAUUCCCUCAGUAACGGCGAGUGAAGCGGGAAGAGCUCAAAUUGAAAUCUUCAAGGUUUUACCUUGACGAAUUGUAGUUUAAAGAAGUGUUUUCUGUUGGAGUUUUGGUAAAAGUUCUUUGGAAAAGGACAUCAUAGAGGGUGAGAAUCCCGUAUUUGACCAUUAUCUCCAGCUUUGUGAUACACUUUCAAAGAGUCGGAUUGUUUGGGAAUGCAGUCCAAAAUGGGUGGUAAAUUUCAUCUAAAGCUAAAUACUGGCGAGAGACCGAUAGCGAACAAGUACCGUGAGGGAAAGAUGAAAAGAACUUUGAAAAGAGAGUUAAACAGUACGUGAAAUUGUCAAAAGGGAAGCGUUUGACACCAGUGUUGUUUUCUCGAAAAUCAAUUAAAAAGGCCGGAUUUUGUGUUGUAUUGACUUUAUCAGCUUUCUGCACUCUUUUCUUGUCUUUUUUAAUGCACUUUUCGUUUAACAAGUCAACAUCAAUUUCUUUGUUGUAAAAGGGUCAUUGGAAGGUGGCUUUCUUUUCGGAGAAAGUGUUUAUAGCCUUGGCCUCUGCAAUCGGAGAGAUUGAGUCUGCAGCGUAGAUCCUUCGGGUUAGAUACAUUUGUGCUAAGUUGUAGCUUUUCAUAGACAACUUGUUGACUAUGUUUAGUCA
rnacentral:misc_RNA from 1 species